CGGAAUUACUGGGCGUAAAGCGUGCGCAGGCGGUUAUGUAAGACAGAUGUGAAAUCCCCGGGCUCAACCUGGGAACUGCAUUUGUGACUGCAUGGCUAGAGUACGGUAGAGGGGGAUGGAAUUCCGCGUGUAGCAGUGAAAUGCGUAGAUAUGCGGAGGAACACCGAUGGCGAAGGCAAUCCCCUGGACCUGUACUGACGCUCAUGCACGAAAGCGUGGGGAGCAAACAGGAUUAGAUACCCUGGUAGUC
rnacentral:rRNA from 1 species